rnacentral:rRNA from 1 species
GACGAACGCUGGCGGCGUGCUUAACACAUGCAAGUCGAACGGAAAGGCCCUGCUUUUGUGGGGUGCUCGAGUGGCGAACGGGUGAGUAACACGUGAGUAACCUGCCCUUGACUUUGGGAUAACUUCAGGAAACUGGGGCUAAUACCGGAUAGGAGCUCCUGCUGCAUGGUGGGGGUUGGAAAGUUUCGGCGGUUGGGGAUGGACUCGCGGCUUAUCAGCUUGUUGGGGGGGUAGUGGCUUACCAAGGCUUUGACGGGUAGCCGGCCGGAGAGGGUGACCGGCAAAAUGGGGGAGUGAAGGCGGACGGGCGCCAGCCGGGGGGCGGCAGGGGGGAAUUUUGAGGAAGGGGCGGAAGCUGUAGGCAGCAGGGCGGGGGGGGGGAUGGCGGCUGGGGGUUAGGAAACGGGUUGCGCCGGGGAAGAAGGGGGGGGGAGGGGAAUGGGUAAAGAGAACCGGGCUACUCAGGGC